UACGGAGGGUGCAAGCGUUAUCCGGAAUCACUGGGCUUAAAGGGCGCGUAGGCGGGUGCUCAAGUCCGGGGUGAAAUCCUCCAGCUCAACUGGAGAACUGCCUCGGAUACUGGGUGUCUCGAGUGUGGUAGGGGUAUGCGGAACUAUCGGUGGAGCGGUGAAAUGCGUUGAUAUCGAUAGGAACUCCGGUGGCGAAGGCGGCAUACUGGACCACUACUGACGCUGAUGCGCGAAAGCCAGGGGAGCAAACGGG
rnacentral:rRNA from 1 species